rnacentral:ncRNA from 1 species
GUAUAGAGGUGCGGUGUUUAUUAGUAACCAUUUUCUUAUGUACAGCAAUACAGAAAAUGAUGAAAGGGACCACCGCCGAAAAGGGUAUUUUUUGCUGAAAAUAUCCUUUGGGACGGCACAAAAUAUGUGUCGUACUGUCACCGAAUGGUGGAGUGCUAUCGC